rnacentral:rRNA from 1 species
UGACCGCUGGCGGCGUGCCUAAUACAUGCACGUCGAGCGAACAGACGAGGAGCUUGCUCCUCUGACGUUAGCGGCGGACGGGUGAGUAACACGUGGAUAACCUACCUAUAAGACUGGGAUAACUUCGGGAAACCGGAGCUAAUACCGGAUAAUAUAUUGAACCGCAUGGUUCAAUAGUGAAAGACGGUUUUGCUGUCACUUAUAGAUGGAUCCGCGCCGCAUUAGCUAGUUGGUAAGGUAACGGCUUACCAAGGCAACGAUGCGUAGCCGACCUGAGAGGGUGAUCGGCCACACUGGAACUGAGACACGGUCCAGACUCCUACGGGAGGCAGCAGUAGGGAAUCUUCCGCAAUGGGCGAAAGCCUGACGGAGCAACGCCGCGUGAGUGAUGAAGGUCUUCGGAUCGUAAAACUCUGUUAUUAGGGAGGAACAAAUGUGUAAGUAACUAUGCACGUCUUGACGGUACCUAAUCAGAAAGCCACGGCUAACUACGUG